GAAAUUCAACGGCCGCGGUACCCUAACCGUGCGAAGGUAGCAUAAUCACUUGUUUCUUAAAUAGAGACUAGUAUCAACGGCAUCACGAAGACUACACUGUCUCCUCCAUAUAAUCAAUGAAACUGAUCUCCUCGUGAAGAAGCGAGGAUAUAUAUAUAAGACGAGAAGACCCCAUGGAGCUUAAAACAAAUUUCAAUUGCUCCCACCUAAAUCAUAAAAGCUGAGCAUUUCUGAUAAACAGUUUUAGGUUGGGGCGACCGCGGAGUAAAACAAAACCUCCACAAUGAACGUAAUAUAAUCCUAAUAAAAGAACUACAAUUCUAAUAAUCAACAUAUUGACACAAAUUGACCCAAAUAUUUUGAUCAAUGAACCAAGUUACCCUGGGGAUAACAGCGCAAUCCAUUUUAAGAGCCCUUAUCGACAAAUGGGUUUACGACCUCGAUGUUGGAUCAGGGUAUCCCAGUGGUGCAGCCGCUACUAAUGUGUUCGUUUGUUCAACGAUUAAAACCCUACGUGAUC
rnacentral:rRNA from 1 species